GAUGAACGCUGGCGGCGUGCCUAAUACAUGCAAGUCGAGCGAACAGAUGAGGAGCUUGCUCCUCUGACGUUAGCGGCGGACGGGUGAGUAACACGUGGAUAACCUACCUAUAAGACUGGGAUAACUUCGGGAAACCGGAGCUAAUACCGGAUAAUAUAUUGAACCGCAUGGUUCAAUAGUGAAAGACGGUUUUGCUGUCACUUAUAGAUGGAUCCGCGCCGCAUUAGCUAGUUGGUAAGGUAACGGCUUACCAAGGCAACGAUGCGUAGCCGACCUGAGAGGGUGAUCGGCCACACUGGAGCUGAGACACGGUCCAGACUCUUACGGGAGGCAGCAGUAGGGAAUCGUCCGCGAUGGGCGAAAGCCUGACGGAGCAACGCCGCGUGGAUGAUGAAGGGCUUCGGAUCGUAUAACUCUGUUAUUAGGGAAGAACAAAUGUGUAAGUAACUAUGCACGUCUUGACGGUACCUAGUCAGAAAGCCACGGCUAACUACGUG
rnacentral:rRNA from 1 species